CAUCAGCUGUUGUCCUGUUGUGUCCGCCGCAGGACUGUAGGCAGCAGUUCGUCCCUCACCGAGUGUGCGAUCGGGGUGGUCGCUCCUACAGUGCGCUGCGGUGUUGCUUUGCGGCGUCGGUGAGGGAAGAAAAAAAAAAAAAACGCAACCAGCCACCUCCGAAGUAACGACGGCUUUCGUGCGGAUUACUCGCUGGAGAAGCGACGAGUGGUACAGCGAGUCGGUGCAGCCCAUUCUUGACGCAUUCAGAAGUAACGUUCGCGGAAGGUGUCGGUGGUGCAGUGUUUAUUUCUCUCUGACCCCCGGGUGUUCCCUAUGAGCCCGGGCGCGUUGUGUCAGAGUGCCAGCGUCGUGUCCGAAUUCCAUGCCUUCAACGUCGUCACCACCAGUGCCGUCCUCCGCGAUGGACAACACAGCGGCAGCAGCCGCUGCAGGCGGCGGCAGCGAAGUGCGCCGGGCCCGGAGCAUACAGCUGCCCGAGCAGCUCGCCGUCUUCAGGAACCUCAAGAACGCCAAGCGCUUCGCGAUUGACAUAGGAGGAUCGCUGACCAAGAUAGCCUACUACUCUACGGUGUCACACAAGCGUGCCGUCUACAACGCCGACUUCCAAAAGAAUGGCAGCUGCGGCGGUGGCGGCGAGCACGAGGCGGCUGUUCCCGGAGCUGAGUCGAGCUCCCGCGACGGUGUGCCAUGGGAGCGCGAAGUGGAGACCGGUCGACUGCACUUCGUCAAGUUCGAGACGCGCCACAUCGAGGCGUGGCUCCGCUUCGUCCAGGAGGAGCUGCUGCGCGACGGCAGUCCGCCGCGGCUCGGCGGAAGCGUCAAGCUCACCGGCGGAGGGGCCUUCCGACACCGACAGCUCAUCGCCACCACGCUCGGACUCAGCGUGGACAUGGAGGACGAGCUGGAGUGCCUGAUAAGUGGCUGCAACUUCCUCCUCAAGAACAUCACCGACGAGGUGUUUGAGUACCAGCGGCACGGCAACCCUGAGUACAAGUUCAACAACACCGACCCCAAUGUCUUCCCUUAUCUGCUCGUCAAUAUUGGCUCCGGUGUCAGCAUCAUGAAGGUCGAGUCCGACGACAAGUACGAGCGCAUUGGCGGGUCGGCGACCGGCGGAGGCACCUUCUGGGGUCUUGGCUCGCUCAUGACCAAGGCCAAGAGCUUUGAUGAGCUUCUAGAGCUUGCUGAGCGAGGAGACCACCGCAGAGUGGACAUGCUUGUCAAAGACAUCUACGGGGGCAACUACGAGGCAGUGGGCCUGACGAGCGACCUCAUUGCCUGCUCAUUUGGCAAGACGGUCCGCCACACGGGAAAUGGCACCACUUCUGGCAAGGAUGACGAUGACGGCACCCGGGAGUUCAGUGAAAGCGACAUUGCGCGCAGCCUGCUGUUCAUGAUCAGCAAUGACAUUGGCCAGAUUGCCAGCCUGUAUGCACUCAUGCAUGGCCUCGAUCGAGCCUACUUUGGUGGCUACUUCCUGCGUGGGCACCCCCUCAGCAUGCACACCAUCUCCUUCGCCAUCAACUACUGGAGCAAGGGCAAAGUGCGAGCGUCGUUUCUGCGACACGAAGGUUACCUGGGUGCCAUCGGCGCUUUUCUUAAAGGGGCCAGUGAAUACGGCACAGAGAACUGCUCAUGGAGCGAGAACUAUGCUGGCAGCUCUGGCCUGCAGAGUCCCAUACCUGCCCAGCUGUCUCAGCAUAACAGUACAAUGAUCGACCAGUUGGAAAUGGACCGGUUUGAGUGGCAGCUGGUGUACUGCCCGCUGCUUGCGGAUCCAGCACGUUACCUGGCUGACACUGUGGACCUGACUCAGGAUGCCGAGGCUCGCCGCUACUGGCUCCAAUGCUUCCAGGAGGCCAUUGACAAGUUUGUCGAGGUGGCAGUCCGCAGCCAGCCACACAAGACGGAUGCGCAUCUGCGUGCCAGCCAGUUCCGGGAGAAGUACCUGUGCCGCUUGCAGAACCUGCAGGAUCACCCCUUUGCCUAUGGCUCCCUAACAGUGCGGAGUCUGUUGGACAUGCGAGAGCACUGCCUGCUCGAGUUUGAAUUCCCAGAUCCUUAUUUCCAGCAAAAGCGGCUGGAGAACGAAGCAGCGCUACGGCUACUGCCAUCACGGCUGUCGCAGCUGGAUGCCAUGGAGUGGCAUGAGCGGCAGGAGGCCCUUGUCACAGGCCUGCUGGCGGGUAACGUCUUUGACUGGGGUGCCAAGGAGGUGGCACGGCUGCUCAACAGUGGUGACUUUGGUUUCUCCGAGGCACGCAGUCAUCUUCAAGAGCGCCCUUGGCUUCAGGAUGACCUGGAUGCCUGGAUAGAGCGGUUGGAGAAAGGGCCCGUGCACCAGUGUGCGGCCAUCUUUGUCGACAACAGCGGCAUGGACGUGCUGCUGGGUGUGCUGCCGUUUGCCCGCGAACUUAUCUCCCGGGGCACCAAGGUGAAGAUCAAAUCAUGCGCAGCACAUCCCAGGUGAAAAUGUUCCAAGUGGGGCCUGCUGGUCUAAGUGGAUUACCCCAUUCCCAUCUGCCACCAUUUCGGCCAGCUGCAGGAACCAGCAGAAACGAACUUCUGCCAGUUGGGAAUCGGCUAAUAAGGCAGUCUUACUGGUGCUGCUGUGCGCCAACACCCGUCCCGCUCUGAACGAUGUGACCCAUCAAGAAUUGCAGAUUCUUGUGCAAAGGGUGGCCGACAGUGUGUGCCCGAAACUGCGCGAGGCUCUUGUGCGAGGUCAUCUGCAGGUGCUCGACUCUGGACAGAGCUCGCCCUGCCUCGACCUCAG
rnacentral:misc_RNA from 1 species